AUUGAACGCUGGCGGCAUGCCUUACACCUGCAAGUCGAACGGUAACGCGGGGCAACCUGGCGACGAGUGGCGAACGGGUGAGUAAUGCAUCGGAACGUGCCCCGUAGUGGGGGAUAGCCCGGCGAAAGCCGGAUUAAUACCGCAUACGACCUACAGGUGAAAGGGGGGGAUCGCCAGACCUCUCGCUAUUGGAGCGGCCGAUGUCAGAUUAGGUAGUUGGUGGGGUAAAGGCCUACCCAGCCGACGAUCUGUAGCUGGUUUGAGAGGACGACCCGCCCCCCUGGGACUGAGACCCGGCCCCGACUCCUACGGGAGGCAGCCGUGGGGAAUUUUGGACAAUGGGCGCAAGCCUGAUCCAGCCCUGCCGCGUGCGGGAAGAAGGCCUUCGGGUUGUAAACCGCUUUUGUCGGGGAAGAAACGGCCUGCGCUAAUACCGCGGGCUAAUGACGGUACCCGAAGAAUAAGCCCCGGCUAACUACGUGCCC
rnacentral:rRNA from 1 species